GACUGUGACGUGUUUAAAUGGGCGUGCGUGCUGAACAUUCGAGUUUCAUUCAAACACUGGAGCGGAGGGAGUUGUCAUAGAAACGGAGCGCCAACACAACAACUGACAAGCAGAGAAUCACUGACUUUUGCUGAUGUUUUCAAAGCUUUCGCCUUUAAGGAGAGGAAAAAACCUCAGCAACAGGGGAAGCUCCAAGAUUUAACAAUUUCUGAAGGCAGAAGAACUGGAAAAGCUUCUUAAAUUUUUAAGAAGGCUUUGACAUCCAUAAUUACUAGACAUUACGCCAGUUCCAAUUUGGAUCCAGCCUUCAGCAGAUGCUAAGACUCACAAUGACUUCAGAAGAUGCUAAGAUUCACGAUGACUUCAGAUGAUGACAACUAAAAAUGAACAUACAAGUCUGUCAAAUAUUAUCCUUCUAUUGAGAUCAUUGUUCUAAAAAGGAGGGACUUCUCAACAAAUUCACUUCAUAGCGCGUCAAUGGAAGGCUUUCCUAUGUAACAAACAUGGCUUUCCACUCUUCAGGGCUGCAAACUGCGACUAAAACGGUCGCAUUUGCGACCAUAAAUAUUAAAAUGCAAGUGAAGUUUUUGCUGAGGUCGCCACUGGGGACUAGGCAUAUAUAUUUACAUGUUAUCUCUUAAAAAAUUGCAUGUAAUGCCUUUUUUCCUGAUUGUUUUGCAUUCACAUCUUUUGUUAUAUUCGUGCAUUGAGAGAAUGCGCAUUGAAGUUUUAGUGGGAAAAAGAGUUUUAAACAGUCCUGAUCUGCCGCACAGCAGCGCUGACACACACCUGAUAAACGCGCGAGAGAGAGAAAUGAUGGAGACUUGAAGAGAAAGUGCAGAAAAACAGCGUCUCUUUCGUUCAUAACUUGAACAAAAUACAACAGGUAAAGCUAUCAUCUGUGUGGAUAUUGGCAAUAUCGUUAAAAGUUCUCGUUUAUAAUCAUAAGGCUUCUUCUUAACAAGAUCUUAGUCCAUGCUGUGUUCUGUUAAUGCAUGAACUUCAUUAUUUGAAGUGCACUUGUCGUCCAGUAAAAGCUUUGUGCUUAGUUACUUUUUAAUUUACAAAGUAUCAGCUUUAAAAUUAUUCCAAAUUCAUAACA